GCCAAGUACGUGUAAUUAAUGCCCAGAGAAGCCUGGAGGGAAUCCGCUCCUCCUCUCAUCGCCAAGCCAGUCCUUCCUCCGGGCAGCGCUAGCAACAGGACCAGGAGCCCCUUCUUCUCCAGGGAGGCCCAGGCGCGCACCGUGGCCCACCCCCCCACACUCUGAAAUCCCGAGUCAGGCCCAAAGUAACCCCAUUGGCUUUUUAAAAAAUAAUGAAGGUUGGGUUCCUUUUCUUGGCCUUCGGGUUUUGGAGCCUUCACAUAGCACAUUUCCAAGCUUUUCCUUGCAGCCAGGAGGCCUCAAAACCUCUUCCAUAAAUGAGAGCCAACAGCCAAGUUGCUGCUGAGUCACAUUAGUCGUGGAGAUUUAAGAAAACAACGAAUAUCACAAGACUUGCAAUAAAAAGAGCUGAUAAUAGUGGGGCCCGACUAGCCUCGUUUUCUCUGGCUCUAGAUAGAGGGUAAAAUCCUAGCUCCACUGAAGCCAAUGGGACUUUUGCCUUCACAGGUCCAGGGUGUCACCUCAAGCUCCCACACAAACUGGCAGAAACAUGCUCUCUUUUCAUCAGGGAAAAUGCAGAGAGUGCAUCCUCCCACUUCUCCACUCUCUUGGCUGGCUUUCUGUUCAUUUCCAACUUAUCUUUAAAGCCCUCAGUGGGCCUGUACCUAGGCCAUAACCGGGCCAGGCAGCUAUGCUCAGAGCAUGCUGAAGUUGGAGGCAGGGCAUUCUCAACAGAGAGUUCUUUACUGCUAAACUCCUAAUGGACAAGAUCAAGGUACCCUCACUUCUCUGAUUGCUCUUUGAUGUAUUCUUCUUGUAUCUUAGAGCACUUGAAGCUGGAGAUGUCAUGUUUUAUGCUGGGAAAAAUUACUGUUACGUUUGGGAUUAGAAAAUUAGCUAAAGGAAAAAGUGACACAUACCUGUCACUGAAGAGAUGGCUUCGAAUCUGUAUCCUAUCUGUAUCUGUAUACCAUCCAUAGCCCCAUUCCUGAAAACAUAGCAGUGUUUAAAUAAAUCCAGUUAAUGGAAUAAAUGUAUGUAGUAAAAACACAAAUCUCAAAUUAUCUCAUAAUUAACCAAAAAUGUUCAGACAGAAAAAUUUCUCCCUGUAUACUGAAAAGUAACUUUUUCUGACCCCUUCAUUGUCAAUAAAUGUCAUAUAAAUAAUCAACCAUGAAAUCUUCAAACAAAUAUUGCAUCCACCACAAUCUCUCUACCACCGAGAGGACAGCUAUACAGUCCCUGAAAUCCAG